rnacentral:lncRNA from 1 species
AUGUCGUCUCUGGGCUCAAGUGGAGGCAGUUCCCUGCUGCAGGUUCCAGGAGCUCUCCCCACCAUCAGCCACGCUUCACUGGGGUCCGGACGCAGCUCCAGGCCAAUGAUCUGCCUCAGCGCUUCUCAGAGCUUCGACAGACACUCGGCACACAGGCUGAGUCCAGCUGACAGCGUAGAGGGAUGCAGGUUCAGCCCAGCCCACAGGGCAAACAGACACAGACUCAACUCAGCUCAUAGUAUAGACGGGUAUAAGUUCAGCCCGACUCGUCGGCUGAACAGACACAGACUCAGCUCUGCACACAGUAUGGACGGGUACAGGCUGAAUCCAGAUCCAAGCUCAGACAGACCAAAGCUUCUGUCCAGCCACAGUAUUGACAAAUAUCCAUCAGUCAGGCUGAGUCUGACCCACUCCGGCAGCAGACAGUCCUCUUUGUGGCUCAGUCCUGAGAACAGUCUGGACAGAAAUAAGCUCAGUCCCUCCUACGUCCCAGAGAGUUCAGUCAUGAAGAGACCAGCAUCUUUCCACACCGUGAGCAGGCGGCUACGGAGACAGGAGGCUGUGCGGAGUGACUCUCUGGAUCAGAGCGGCUCAGCUGAUGACCUAGCAGAGCCCUGCCUCACUGUGCCCACUGCCUCCCCCUCUCUUGCACGGCAGCGAUCAUCCAGUGUGCACACACUGAAAUACACACUCCCCCAGAGGGUGAUCUCAUGCAGGAGCCACAGCCGGAGCCACAGUGAAGCUACAGCACAUGAACAUGUGUCUGAGCAGGCCAUCUGUGGCGCUCAGCCACCAACAGAUGUAGAAAAGAGGCCUGUCAGCCCAGAGGGGCUGUCCAGUUUGAAGGUCACCAGCAACGAAGUCAUACUUUUAUCUCCCUGCCCUGGUGCCGGAUCAGACCCCGCCCCCCAGUUAGACGAUGCUGAUGAGGAAGUCAGUCAGAUAAACAGUCCGGUUCACUCACAGCCUCCUAAUAGCUCCCUACACAAAAGCGGACACCUUUCUCCAAGUCCCUCAGAGCACAGGACCCGCCUCAGCCACUCGGCGUCACCUGUUACAGGCAAAAGCAGGAAACAGAGGAUAAGCCCGCCACCGGGAGACGAACCAGUCGCAAUGGCAACACAGCUAAUGGACACCAACGUAGAGCUGAGAAGGCGAACUCUGUCAUUUGAUGCCACAAGUCUCCCUCCUCAUCAGCAGGAGGGAGGGUCUGUUGAUGACUGA